rnacentral:rRNA from 1 species
ACGUAGGAUGCAAGCGUUGUCCGGAUUUAUUGGGCGUAAAGAGUUCGUAGGCGGUUUAUUAAGUCUGAAGUUAAAAACUGGGGCUCAACCUCGGGACUGCUUUGGAUACUGGUAGACUUGAGUACAGUAGAGGCGAGUGGAAUUUCCAGUGUAGCGGUGAAAUGCGUAGAUAUUGGGAAGAACACCAGUGGCGUAGGCGACUCGCUGGGCUGUAACUGACGCUGAGGAACGAAAGCUAGGGUAGCGAAUGGG